rnacentral:rRNA from 1 species
GACGAACGCUGGCGGCGUGCUUAACACAUGCAAGUCGAACGGAAAGGCCCUGCUUUUGUGGGGUGCUCGAGUGGCGAACGGGUGAGUAACACGUGAGUAACCUGCCCUUGACUUUGGGAUAACUUCAGGAAACUGGGGCUAAUACCGGAUAGGAGCUCCUGCUGCAUGGUGGGGGUUGGAAAGUUUCGGCGGUUGGGGAUGGACUCGCGGCUUAUCAGCUUGUUGGUGGGGUAGUGGCUUACCAAGGCUUUGACGCGUAGCCGGCCUGAGAGGGUGACCGGCCACAUUGGGACUGAGAUACGGCCCAGACUCCUACGGGAGGCAGCAGUGGGGAAUAUUGCACAAUGGGCGGAAGCCUGAUGCAGCAACGCCGCGUGCGGGAUGACGGCCUUCGGGUUGUAAACCGCUUUCGCCUGUGACGAAGCGUGAGUGACGGUAAUGGGUAAAGAAGCACCGGCUAACUACGUG